UACGUAGGGUGCAAGCGUUGUCCGGAAUUAUUGGGCGUAAAGAGCUCGUAGGCGGUUUGUCGCGUCUGCUGUGAAAACCCGAGGCUCAACCUUGGGCUUGCAGUGGGUACGGGCAGACUAGAGUGCGGUAGGGGUGACUGGAAUUCCUGGUGUAGCGGUGGAAUGCGCAGAUAUCAGGAGGAACACCGAUGGCGAAGGCAGGUCACUGGGCCGCAACUGACGCUGAGGAGCGAAAGCUAGGGGAGCAAACGGG
rnacentral:rRNA from 1 species